UCCGACAGUCAUUUGAAUUGAGUAACGUAAAUGCCUUUGAAGAAAAACUUCAUAAUAUAUAUUUUUUCCGUCAUUAUUUUAGUACUUCAAGUAUUAUCUGUUACAUCAUGCACCGAUAGUGCUUUAGUACAAACCAUUUUUGACCUAGGCUAAACCAAUACAAUAUUAAAAAUAAUUAAUAGUUUGUUACAAAAAUUCCUUUUUUUCAGCACCACAAAAAUUCA